UUUUAACGAGAGUUUGAUCCUGGCUCAGGAUGAACGCUGGCGGCGUGCUUAACACAUGCAAGUCGAGCGAAGCACUUUUGCGGAUUUCUUCGGAUUGAAGCAACUGUGACUGAGCGGCGGACGGGUGAGUAACGCGUGGGUAACCU
rnacentral:rRNA from 1 species